rnacentral:rRNA from 1 species
AGAGUUUGAUCCUGGCUCAGGAUGAACGCUAGCGACAGGCCUAACACAUGCAAGUCGAGGGGCAGCGGGGAGGUAGCAAUACCUUUGCCGGCGACCGGCGCACGGGUGAGUAACACGUAUGCAAUCCACCUGUAACAGGGGGAUAACCCGGAGAAAUCCGGACUAAUACCCCAUAAUAUGGGCUCUCCGCAUGGAGGGUCCAUUAAAGAGAGCAAUUUUGGUUACAGACGAGCAUGCGCUCCAUUAGCCAGUUGGCGGGGUAACGGCCCACCAAAGCGACGAUGGAUAGGGGUUCUGAGAGGAAGGUCCCCCACAUUGGAACUGAGACACGGUCCAAACUCCUACGGGAGGCAGCAGUGAGGAAUAUUGGUCAAUGGUCGGCAGACUGAACCAGCCAAGUCGCGUGAGGGAAGACGGCCCUACGGGUUGUAAACCUCUUUUGUCGGAGAGUAAAGUACGCUACGUGUAGCGUAUUGCAAGUAUCCGAAGAAAAAGCAUCGGCUAACUCCGUGCCAGCAGCCGCGGUAAUACGGAGGAUGCAAGCGUUAUCCGGAUUUAUUGGGUUUAAAGGGUGCGUAGGCGGCACGCCAAGUCAGCGGUGAAAUUUCCGGGCUCAACCCGGACUGUGCCGUUGAAACUGGCGAGCUAGAGUGCACAAGAGGCAGGCGGAAUGCGUGGUGUAGCGGUGAAAUGCAUAGAUAUCACGCAGAACCCCGAUUGCGAAGGCAGCCUGCUAGGGUGCGACAGACGCUGAGGCACGAAAGCGUGGGUAUCGAACAGGAUUAGAUACCCUGGUAGUCCACGCAGUAAACGAUGAAUACUAACUGUUUGCGAUACAAUGUAAGCGGUACAGCGAAAGCGUUAAGUAUUCCACCUGGGGAGUACGCCGGCAACGGUGAAACUCAAAGGAAUUGAC